GAGUGUACAGAAAUCAGCGGGGGCAAAAUCUAAACAAGAGCCUGAGACAAAUUCUAUCAAUAUCUGGCCUACGGCAGAUAAUUUGGAUAGUUUGUAUGGUUAUAAGUCAAAGGCUUGCUUCCCAUACACAUACACUGUAUGUUAGGAAUUAAACAUGAAUGUUUGAGGGUGAGGUCGUACCUGAAGGCCUGCGUAGAGUAGACCUUUACUUUGCUCCAGGCCUGCUGAGAUACGGCUGUGACCCCCGAGUUGCGCA